rnacentral:misc_RNA from 1 species
UCGAGAAAACCCGUUCUUGCUUGGCGUCUCCUCGGCUGUAUAUCAGAUUCGAUCUCAGCUGACGCUUUAUUUUUUCCCCUAUCCGCAAACUUCUUCAAAGCUUGACCUUUGGAAUGCUACUCGAUCUGCGAAAAAGCUGCUAGAUUUGCUGCAAUUAGAUCAGACUUAGUAAUGCUCUUUAAGUGCUUCUUCCGAUUUCAAAUGGAUUUGUGAGCUGAAGUAUGACUUUCCGCUAAUGUGCCAAUCGUAAAAUAUACAUCUUGUAGAUAUAUUAAUUUAAAAACAAUUUCUAUAGCGGACAAAAGUUAGCGUUUCUGAAGUGUUCAUCCAAUGGCAUAUUCUUCGAAAAAACAGAUAAUGAGCAAAAUUUUCCUGGAUUACUAAUCUUUUUUUAAAUCGCGAAUUUGGGGAGAAAAAUUGUGAUUGGACUCGAUUUGUGCAAUCUUCCGUAUUUUGUUUUGGUUAUUAUUAUUUAAAUCAAUGACAAAUGAAUUAGUAAAUUUCCAAUCAACAAUCAGCGUUUCUUAGAAAUUUCCGAUCCUGUGAUUUCGCUGUUACUUUGACUGUUUUAUAUUUUAUAGUAGCAAUGUGAUCGCGCAUUAAAUAUUGAACUUUAAAUUUCUAAUAUCUGAGAAAAGAAGAAAGCUUUUCUGCUGAUGAAAAUAUUUUGCUUGUACUAGAUUGACAAUGGAUUGUAUUACAGAAUUUUUAUGUGAUGGCAAAGUGCUGCAGAUUUCGUGCUUCGAAACAUUGUGCAUACAUAAAGCAAGCAUUCUUAGGGUUUUGAAGCAUUAACAGCUAUGUUACGCAGUUGGAUCUACGUUGUAAUCGUCGGCGCGGUGUUCUGCCGUAUUGCUGCGGGAUCUCGCGGGUACGUAGCACCGGAAGACUGUGAAUGGACUGCCGCUGGAAGCCUCGGUUCUUCUUCGGUGGCGCUGACAUGCACCGUCCGUACCAUAAAUGGAGCUUUCGAUAGCACAAAUUUCAGCCUCAUCCAGCCUCAAAAUACAGUCAGUCUGAAAGUCAAAUGCGAAAAUGUGUUAUUCGAAAGUGCCCUUGCAAAUAGUUCUUUCCAACAUCUCAAAGAGCUACGAUCCCUGCACAUCGACUUCUGCAAACUGAAGGAGAUACCUGUUAAGGCAUUCUGGGGUCUGACGGAGUUGACCAACUUGACGGUGAGAACUUACAACAGCGACUGGGGUGAGAUUUUCCUGAAAGUAAUCCCUGGCAGUUUAUCCCCUCUUCAGAAACUCAACAGGUUGGAUUUUAGUCGGAACAAUAUGCCAGCUUUAGCACCAUCAUUAUUGUGUUCUUUGCCAAAUCUACAGCAUUUAAAUCUCUCUCAUAAUGAUUUCAGCGAAGUCGUGAAUUUGGGUUUCGCGGCUACCAACCGGACGCCUUGUCCUGUUCAUGUUCAACAUCUGGAUUUAACGAAAAAUCGCUUGAAAGUGCUCGGCGAUCGUGGAUUUUCGGCACUGAGGCAUUUGCGGACUUUGUACCUUCAAUCGAACAGGAUAUCUCGUGCGGAGGAUACAGCGCUGGCCGGCUUAGGUAAGCUACAAAUUCUAGAUCUUUCUAAUAAUCAGUUGAUUGCUCUUCCACCGGGUUUCCUGAAAGGCUCGGAGUUGCUUGCAGAACUUUAUUUACAAAAUAACUCUAUGAGUGUCCUGCCUCCUGGAUUGUUUUCUGGACUGCAGCAGAUGCUCAUAUUGGACUUGAGUCGAAAUUCGCUCACCAGCCAGUGGCUUAAUGGUGAUACUUUUGCUGACAUGACUCGAUUAGUUGUCAUGGAUCUAAGUUAUAACAAGUUGUCUCACCUCGAUUCAGCGACAUUUCGCUCGCAGUAUAGCCUCAAAGUUUUACAGCUGCAUCAUAAUGAGCUCGUCAGCAUUGCCGAUAACGCUUUUUCAUCGCUGUACAACCUCCAGAGUUUGAUACUGAGUCAGAACAAUUUAACUUAUAUUGAUGCUCUUACUUUUAAUGGCCUUCAGAUGUUGGAAAUCAUAUCGUUGGAUUUUAAUAGCAUACAGGCAAUUCACAGUGAGGCUCUGAAAAACUGUACAAAUCUCCAAGAAUUGACUUUGAAUGUCAACAAGCUAAUAGAAGUGCCAAAAACUAUAAAAUUUCUGCAGCAGCUACGAAGCCUGGAUAUAAGCAACAAUAGGAUUUCUGUGAUAAGUAACGCGUCUUACCAAGGUUUAGCGCAUUUGUACGGUUUGAAACUUGCAGGAAAUUUGAUAGGGAAUUUAAGUAAAGGUGUAUUUCAAGAUUUACCCUCAAUAAGAAUACUAAAUUUAGCUAAUAAUAAUGUGCAGGCUAUUGAACAAGGUACUUUUGAUGAAGUGCCGCUGCUUCAUGCUCUAAGAUUAGACUCCAAUUUGAUAUCGGAUAUUAAUUCCUUAUUUAUAAAUCUUCAUGAUUUGAUGCUACUUAAUAUCUCAGCGAAUCGGAUUUCUUGGUUCGAUUAUGCACUUAUUCCGAUUGGAUUGCAUUGGUUAGAUGUUCAUGAUAAUCAGAUAGAAACUCUAGGAAAUUAUUAUGAGCUAGAAUCUGUGUUAAGACUACGUACUUUGGAUGCAUCCUACAACAGAAUAGGGGAAAUAGACGCAUCGUCAUUACCGAAUAGUAUAGAAAUAAUAUUUCUGAAUAAUAAUCUGAUAAGAAAUAUACAAGCUUUUACCUUCUUAGGCAAGCAAAAUCUAACUAGGGUAGAGCUAAAAAAUAAUUAUUUACAGACUUUAGAAAUGAAUGCAUUUAGAUUAAGUGAAGUACCAAGUAGAAGACCGCUUCCAGAAUUUACGGUUUCGCAGAAUCCGUAUAUCUGUGAUUGUAACAUGGAAUGGGUACAGCGCAUGGCUACUUUAGAUGAAUCUAGACAAUAUCCGAGAAUGACGGAUAUCGAAGAUAUUAUAUGCAGUUUAACAUUCACUCGGCGGAGAGCAGUAGUGCCGCUUACGAGAGCUCAGAGUUCGCAGUUUUUAUGCAGUUACAAAAGUCACUGUUUUGCCUUGUGCCACUGCUGUGAGUUCGAUGCUUGCGAUUGCGAGAUGGUGUGUCCUGAAAAUUGCACCUGUUACUAUGAUCAGAGUUGGAAUACCAAUAUCGUAGAUUGUGGUAGCAAGCGACAUACAGCAGUGCCUAGAAAGAUACCCAUGGACGUUACUGAACUGUAUCUCGACGGCAGUGAUAUUCCAACUCUAUCCAGUCAUACAUUUAUUGGCAGAAAAAAUAUGAAAAUCUUGUACCUUAACAAUAGCAAUGUGCAUACAAUCGAUAAUAGAACUUUCAACGGGCUGAGAGACCUUCUAGUUCUCAAUUUAGACCAUAAUCGUCUGACCGCGCUUCACGGAUAUGAGUUUGAAAGGCUGGUGUUUCUUCAAGAGCUUUAUCUCUCUCACAAUUUAAUCACAACAAUCAGCAACGUCACUUUUUCAGCUUUGAAAUCUAUAGAAAUAUUGCAUCUAGAUCACAACUUUAUAGUGCAUUUCCAAGUGUGGUUACUCAACAUGAAUCCUCGUUUGCAAGAAAUCCGAUUUGCUCAUAAUCCCUGGACGUGCGAUUGUUAUUUCAUAGGGGAAUUAAAGGAAUAUCUUCAUUUAAAAGGUGACUAUGUCCGUGAUAUUUACGAUUUAGAGUGCCAGUUUAACCAUAGCAGUGCUCAUGCCUUGCUAGACUUCAAUACGACGGCCUGCAACAAUUUUACUGCCACAGCAAUUCGAAGUGAGUUCGACGUUACUGAAAUGCUGCCAAUGCUGAUCAUUGCCGCAUCAGUCUUAUUCUGCGUGAUCUUCGCGGUUGUGCUCAUCUUUAUUUACAGACGAGAAAUGGGUGUGUGGUUCUACGCGAAGUAUGGUGUACGCCUUUUCCAAGGGGGCAAAGGACGUGCUUCUCAACGGGGUGGUGGAGACGAAGACAAACUCUUCGAUGCAUUUGUCUCCUACAGCAAGAAAGAUGAGGCCUUCGUGACACAAAUCUUAGCUCCAGAGUUGGAAUGUGGAAUGCCGACCUAUCGUUUGUGCCUUCACUACAGAGACCUACCGGUCGGAGGGUACAUGUCAGAUGCCAUCAUGGAAGCCAUGGAAAGCAGCAGACGAACUAUAUUAAUUUUGUCCGAGAACUUUCUGAAAAGUGAAUGGUGCCGAUAUGAGUUUAAAUCGGCGCACAGGGAAGUUCUCAGCGCGUGCCAGCAUAGACUUCUAGUGAUAGCUUUGGGCAAAGUGGACCCCCAGGAGCUGGACCCUGAUAUCCGACUGUGGAUGAAACAGAGUCCGGUCCUCAGGUGGGGUGAGAAACUCUUCUGGGACAGGCUAAAAUAUGCAAUGCCUGAUGUUCGACACCGAAAGACAGAAAGGAACAGAAAUGACGUGAGUGUAGCUGUACAUAUUUGAAAAUAGUGCUUUUUAUUACUCAUAUUAAUUUUAUUUUCGUGAGAAUGGACGAAGUUAUAUUAAGACAGUAACGUGCACAUCUGGGAACGGGGGAAAGAAAGAAAGAAAGAUGUAGCAAGCUUGUUUGGUCAUCGGAAACUGAAUACUAAAAGAACUGUCAAUCUUCUGCCCGUUUAGCCAAUGG